rnacentral:rRNA from 1 species
ACUCAAAUGAAUUGACGGGGACCUGCACAAGCGGUGGAGCAUGUGGUUUAAUUCGACGGUAAGCGAGGAACCUUACCAAGCUUUGACAUGUACCUGCAUACAUUAGAAAUAGUGUAGCCUUCGAGGGUGGUACACAGGUGCUGCACGGUUGUCGUCAGCUCGUGCCGUGAGGUGUUCACUUAAGUGUGAAAACGAGCGCAACCCCUAUUGUAAGUUACAAGUGUCUUACGAAACUGCCCGCGUCUAAGCGGGAGGAAGGUGGGGAUGACGUCAAAUCAGCGUGGCUCUUACAGCUUGGGCGACACACGUGCUACAAUGGGUAGAACAGAGGGACGCCAAGGCGCAAGCCGGAGCAAAUCCCAUCAAAACUACCCCCAGUUCGGAUCGAGGGCUGCAACUCGCCCUCGUGAAGCCGGAAUCGCUAGUAACCGUGGAUCAGCCUCGCCACGGUGAAUACGUUCUCAGGUUUUGCACACACCGCCCGU